UGGGUAUUGAACUGGAUGACAGAAAAUACUCACUACAAAGCACCGGCCUCUGAACUACUUCAUGUCGUCCCAGAUAGUCCUCCCGUUCAAGGUGCAAGGCUCAUCUAUGCUGAACCUGAACUCUCAGAUCAUUUGAUGCAAGUUCUGAUGAAGCCUUUGAAGCCAGGCCAAGCUCCCAGGACCAAAUUCCUCGUCAAGGAAUUGCUCUAUGUGCCAAGGACUGUAUACAGGAUAUUGACCAAAACCCUCAGUCCAAUCAAGGGCCACAACUCUGAUGAAGAAGAUGUUGUUGGCAUCAUGAAGAAUCUGCUUUUCAACAUCAUACAUGGUAUCCCUAUCAACUACCAUGAUUUCUUCAUGAGGACUUUGGCCAAUGUCGCUUUGUCACCGUUUGAAUUGAAGCCUUACGCUCCCUGGAUUAUGAGAUUCAUCAGAUCAAGGUCCUCAAUUCAUUACAAGGCUGACUUUCAAAAUCAUCUCAGCUGUUUGCCCCCAGUUGAAGUCCACAAA
rnacentral:rRNA from 1 species